rnacentral:rRNA from 1 species
AUGCUGACCUCCGGCUUCCAUGAGAUCGAGGAUCUCGUCGACGACUUCUUCCUCGGCCACUCGAAUGCUGCCAACCAAGCCAUCGAAGCUGGUCGUGAAGGGCGGAGGGCGGACGGCGCGAAGACCGCCGCCGAUGCCCCCCGAACUCUUGACGAGCAGAUUCUGAGCAUCGAGGCCCGCCUACGGUUGGCACACCAGAUGCUGCGCCAGCUUCAACGUGUCGGCGCCCAGGCGAUCGCCGCCUUGUGGCCGGACAUGCAGGCACCGCGUACCCCUAGCCGGACUGCCGACUGGCUGGAGGUAGCGGUUGGUCGCCUUGAGGCCUGGAAGGGCUCUUCGGCCCGGGCUAGAGUGCACCGGGCCUUAGAGUUCGUCAAGGUGUGGUACCCUGGGCUGAGCCUAGACCAUCUAGCCACGUUCCGGCUAGAAGCUCAGGCGGAGUUGGUGGUCGUGGAAGACGAUCUCGUCAAGCGCGCGACGUCUAUCGCCGAGUACAACGACACUAGCGUCUUCGUCCCAGAGCGGGUUGAGAAUGGCGACGGGGCCCCGCUGGAGUGGUUCGGACUGAAUCCGAACGACGGCGAGGACUCGGCGGAGGUGAUUGACUCCAGUGGCGAGGAAGAAGGCGAGGUGGAGGAAGGAGUCGAAGAGGAGGCGCCAGAGGUCGGAGCGGAUGGCCAACCCCAGCUCGACCGCGCCUCUAGCAACGAGCCACGCCCUUCCGAGCCAGCCGUUGCCAGAGACGACCAAGCAGAGACCGACCAGCCGGCUGCUCCGGCAACUGGCACCGCCGACUCCUCCGAUCCUUCGAACCCGUCUGCUGCUUCCUAA